GCAUGACAAUAAUCAGUGAAUAUUUAGGACUAACAUAAGUAUACAAUAUUGACAGCUAAAAGCAACAGUUAUAUGCACAGUUGUAAACAAGAUUUAUGAUGAGACACUUCACUUAGAAACCAAAUUCACAGAGAAGACAGAGCUUCACAGAACACAGCAGCACAGCGUAAAGCAAUAAAAACUUUGGCUGACAGUCAAAUAAAACUGAAUUAACUCUUUCACUGCUAGCUACAAUCGUCAUAGGCAAGAUAUCGUAUUAUAUUGCAAUUUUUAUAACUACAAUAUUCUCAUAUCACGUCAUUUACCAUUCC